rnacentral:miRNA from 1 species
GAGGUGGUAGGAUUGCUUGAACCUGGGAGGUGGAGGCUGCAGUGAGUCGGGAUCACACCAUUGCACUCCAGCCUGAGUGACAGAGCAAGACCU